rfam:Fungal sp. No.14919 DNA, contig: Contig0070.
GCCCUGCUAGCUCAAUGGUUAGAGCAUCUGACUUCUAAUCAGAAGGUUGCGCGUUCGAGUCGCGCGUAGGGUU